AUCUGGUCUCAGCUCUGAAGUCCAACCCCUCCCAUCUGAGAGAGCUGAACCUGAGUCUGAACAACCUGAAGGAUUCAGGAGUGAAGCUGCUGUGUGGUUUUCUGGAGAGUCCACACUGUAGACUGGAGACUCUGAGCUGGAAGUGAUCUCAGUCAGAGUGUGAGUGGUGAGGAAGGAGGUUGUGUUGGAGGAUCAGCUGUGUCCUGAUGAUCCAGAGAGGUUGAAGCAGCAGCAUCAGCUCUGACUGGGCCAUGUUACUGGGAGGUAGAGUGGAGAGGAGAGCUUCAUCCAGCAGUGACUGACAGAGGAAUCACAACCAGUGGAGAUGACUCUCAGUGCUGCAGUCUGAACUGCUCUGAGAUCAGCUCCACUGUCAGACACAAUGUCAAGUCCACCAUCAUCCCUGUGUGUUCCUCUGGAUGUGACAGAGUAUCAUCAGUGUAUCUGGACUGCUCUGCUGCUGCUCUGUCCUUCUACACAGUCUCUGCAGACACACUGAGACUCCUCCACUCCUUCUGCUCCACACUCAACCACCUCCUCCACCUGGAACCUCCACC